rnacentral:rRNA from 1 species
GCUUGUCUCAAAGAUUAAGCCAUGCAUGUCUAUGUAUAAACAAGUAUACUGUGAAACUGCGAAUGGCUCAUUAAAUCAGUUAUAGUUUAUUUGAUAGUACCUUACUACUUGGAUAACCGUGGUAAUUCUAGAGCUAAUACAUGCUAAAAAACCCGACUUCUGGAAGGGUUGUAUUUAUUAGACUUAAGCCAAUAUUCCUUGUGUCUAUUGCGAUGAUUCAUAAUAACUGAUCGAAUCUCAAAUUUGAGAUAAAUCAUUCAAGUUUCUGCCCUAUCAGCUUUCGAUGGUAGGGUAUUGGCCUACCAUGGCAUUGACGGGUAACGGAGAAUUAGGGUUCGAUUCCGGAGAGGGAGCCUGAGAAACGGCUACCACAUCCAAGGAAGGCAGCAGG